UACGUAGGGAGCAAGCGUUGUCCGGAAUCAUUGGGCGUAAAGCGCGCGUAGGCGGCCUCAUAAGUCCGCUGUGAAAGUCGGGGGCUCAACCCUCGAAUGCCGGUGGAUACUGUCGGGCUAGAGUGCGGAAGAGGCGAGUGGAAUUCCUGGUGUAGCGGUGAAAUGCGCAGAUAUCAGGAGGAACACCAAUUGCGAAGGCAGCUCGCUGGGACGUAACUGACGCUGAGACGCGAAAGCGUGGGGAGCAAACAGG
rnacentral:rRNA from 1 species